rnacentral:rRNA from 1 species
UACGUAGGGGGCAAGCGUUGUCCGGAUUUAUUGGGCGUAAAGAGCGUGUAGGCGGCUUUACAGGUCCGUUGUGAAAACUCGAGGCUCAACCUCGAGACGCCGGUGGAAACCGUAAAGCUAGAGUCCGGAAGAGGAGAGUGGAAUUCCUGGUGUAGCGGUGAAAUGCGCAGAUAUCAGGAGGAACACCCGUGGCGAAAGCGGCUCUCUGGGACGGUACUGACGCUGAGACGCGAAAACGUGGGGAGCAAACAGG